rnacentral:rRNA from 1 species
GACAGAGGGUGCAAACGUUGUUCGGAAUUACUGGGCGUAAAGCGUGUGUAGGCGGCCACGUAAGUCGGAUGUGAAAGCCCUGGGCUCAACCCAGGAAGUGCACUCGAUACUGCGUGGCUCGAGUACUGGAGAGGUUGGUGGAAUUCUCGGUGUAGAGGUGAAAUUCGUAGAUAUCGGGAGGAACACCAGUGGCGAAGGCGGCGACCUGGGCAGAUACUGACACUGAGGUGCGAAAGCGUGGGGAGCAAACAGG